rnacentral:lncRNA from 1 species
AAACGAACCUGACUAGGGGCUACAUGAAAGCCAUACUGUGCUUCCUCCUCCUUCUCAUGAAUCUCUUUCCUCCCUUUUCUUUUCCAUCCCCCAUAGAUCAGAAAUGUGAAGGCGGUUAGGAAAUGUCCAGACUCCAAACAGAAAGAACUGUGAUCCUCAGCAGACACAAGACAUAAUAUUGGAUUCUCUCCAGCUUCAUCCUGGGAAAAAUAUAGGAGACUGAAGGGAAACAGGAAAAUAAGUAAACACCCAUAGAAAAAUAAAAUGGAAUAUCUAUGUUCUUAGACAAUGCUAAUUGAUUAUAGGAACUGCCUUUAGGACCAGAACAAGAAUCUAAUGUCUAAAUGGUA